ACAAACCUCAAAGCCGUCAAACGCGUCGUGAUGCCAAAGCGAAGUUAGAAAAAAAAAAGGUUGGGAAAUGAAGUCCACCACCCACCUACUCGCCGGCGGCGGUGGCGGCGGCUCCGUCGCGCCACCAACGGCUGCCACGGCGCCGACGCUGGCCAUGGAAGUAGGGGAUCCCUCUGGCGCCCUCGUCGGCGGGGCCGGCGGCGCCGGAGCCGGAGGAGGAGACGGGGAUGCCCGCGACGCGCUCCUCCGGUUGGUUGCUCUCGGCGACCGCAUGGCCGCCGUCCGCCGCCGCAUCGCCGCAUCUAUAUCCGGAGAAUCCGGGCCCCUCUCUUCCUCCGACAUCCACUCCGUCUCCUCCGAGAUCUCCUCCGCUGCCCACCUCGUCGUCCUCAACGCCGCCUCCCUCCUCUCUUCCACCGUCGCCUCCCUCCCGGCUCCACCUCCGCCUCCGGCUACUACCGUCCAGGAGCUCCCCCCCGUGGUGGUCUCCGUGCCUCAGGAACCCCCGCAAGAAGCAGCCAAGGGCGACGGCGACUACGACGUCGUCGAGCUCGACGCCUCCGAGCUUCUCGCGGAGCACGUCCACUUCUGCGACAUCUGCGGCAAGGGGUUCCGCCGCGACGCCAACCUCCGGAUGCACAUGCGCGCCCACGGCGACCGCUUCAAGACCCUGGACGCGCUCUCCAGGCCCGGCCAGCCGAAGCCGCCUGCCGGCCGGGAGGUGCGGUUCUCGUGCCCCUACGCCGGCUGCAACCGGAACCGCGCGCACCGCCGCUUCCGGCCGCUCAAGUCGGCCGUGUGCGCGCGCAACCACUUCCGGCGGAGCCACUGCCCCAAGCUCUACGCCUGCGAGCGCUGCGGCGGCAAGAAGCGCUUCGCCGUCCUCGCCGACCUCCGGAGCCACCUCCGCCACUGCGGCGAGGAGGCGCAGUGGCGCUGCUCCUGCGGCACCACCUUCUCCCGCAAGGACAAGCUGUUCGGCCAUCUCGCUCUCUUCGAAGGCCACACGCCGGCGAUCGCCGAGCCGAACAAGGGUGUGGCGACAGCGGCUGCAGAGGCAUCGAUUUCUAUGAUGGAGGAAGGAGGAGUUGAAGCGAAUUGUGAUCGAGAGGAGGAUGAGGAGGGUGGUUUUGAUCCGAAGUUCUUCCAGGAGUGGAUGGAGGAGCUCAGAGGUGGCGCUGUUGCCCCCAAUUGGUCUGCGCCGUCAGAAGCUGGACAUUAGCAGUGCAGCAAGAGCAAUUUGGGUAUACUGAAUGAGAUAAAUUCCACAUGAUCGGAUGAAUCAUGUCUGAUGGUUUUCUGGUACCUCACAGGAGGUAACAGGCCUAUGGUAGGAAGAGAUGACUGAGAAGAUGAAUGAAGAAGGGUCCUGUGAAGAACAGACCUUCCCCCGGCUUGCCUCUGUCUCUCUCUCUCUCUCUCUUCCCCUGGUCUCCCCAUCUUUUACCGCUCGCUGUUAGCCUGUUAUGCAACUCUCUUUUACCCAUGACAAGGAUCUUUAUAACCUGGAAAGUAGUGGUAUCUGUUUCCGAAGCAGUCGAAAUACCAAAUGAUGAAAGAUAUUAACCGUUGGUACAUCGUGUUGUAUGCUCAUUGUGUAUGUCUUCAUGAUUCAGCUUUCUACGGUAGUGUAGAUACAGGUUUCUACACGUUACAGUAGUAUUAAACACAACAUCAGCACCCAACACUGUAACGAACACCAUACAUGUGAGAUCUUACAAUUGAUCGAGGUGAAGUCACACUGAAGGCUUCUGGCA